AAAAAUGCAGUGAAUGGGAUAAAUUACAUGGGCAGUAUCAUGACAGAGAGCCGCCGGCUGGUGAAAGGCGGUAUGGUAUCCAUUGUAACAUCACCCUGGAGCAUCCCGCUGAAAGUUUUACGAGUAGGUUGGGACGGGUUCUCUACGUUAACAGAGAUGCUGUUAACCAAAGACAGCAGAAAACGAGCGGCCGUUAUUUUUAUGCGGCAAGCAGAGUGGUACCACGGAUGAAUUCCGCCUCUGCA
rnacentral:ncRNA from 1 species